GACCACGUAGCUCAGUUGGCAGAGCAUUGGGCUAGUAUUCCAAAGGUCGUAGGUUCGAUUCCCGCCGUGGCCG
rnacentral:tRNA from 1 species